GACGAACGCUGGCGGCGUGCUUAACACAUGCAAGUCGAACGGAAAGGCCCUGCUUUUGUGGGGUGCUCGAGUGGCGAACGGGUGAGUAACACGUGAGUAACCUGCCCUUGACUUUGGGAUAACUUCAGGAAACUGGGGCUAAUACCGGAUAGGAGCUCCUGCUGCAUGGUGGGGGUUGGAAAGUUUCGGCGGUUGGGGAUGGACUCGCGGCUUAUCAGCUUGUUGGUGGGGUAGUGGCUUACCAAGGCUUUGACGGGUAGCCGGCCUGGGAGGGUGACCGGCCACAUUGGGACUGAGGUACGGCGCAGACUCCUACGGGAGGCAGCAGUGGGGAAUAUUGCACAAUGGGCGGAAGCCUGAUGCAGCAGCGCCGCGUGCGGGAUGACGGCCUUCGGGUUGUAAACCGCUUUCGCCUGUGACGAAGCGUGAGUGACGGUAAUGGGUAAAGAAGCACCGGCUAACUACGUG
rnacentral:rRNA from 1 species